GAUCGGUCGCAGACAAGGAAAGGGGGCCUCCGUGGCCCCUUUUCUCGUGCGGCGGCCUGCAUCCGUUCAGUUGCUGAUGGAAUCGCUGCCGCACUGCUUGAAGCAAAUCCCCGCCGAGCCGGAGGCCGGACCUGAUCCGGCAGCAAUCUCGCACUUGCACAAAUCCAUAUUGCACUGCAAUAUGGACUGGGCGGGAAUGCGAGCUGGGUUCGAAAUGUACCGUCGUACCCUUCGCAUACCUAUUGCGAGAGGAUCGGC
rnacentral:ncRNA from 1 species